UGCGGGGUGGAGCAGUCUGGUAGCUCGUCGGGCUCAUAACCCGAAGGUCGUGGGUUCAAAUCCUGCCCCCGCUACCA
rnacentral:tRNA from 10 species